rnacentral:rRNA from 1 species
GAUGAACGCUAGCGACAGGCUUAACACAUGCAAGUCGAGGGGCAGCAUGAACUUAGCUUGCUAAGUUUGAUGGCGACCGGCGCACGGGUGAGUAACGCGUAUGCAACCUGCCCUUCAGAUGGGGACAACACUUCGAAAGAGGUGCUAAUACCGAAUGACGUAUCCAUUCCGCAUGGAGAGGAUACCAAAGGCCGGGCAACCGGUCACUGAAGGAUGGGCCUGCGUCUGAUUAGCUAGUUGGUGGGGUAACGGCUCACCAAGGCGACGAUCAGUAGCCGGUCUGAGAGGAUGAACGGCCACAUUGGGACUGAGACACGGCCCAA